AAUCAAUACUAGUCGGCUUUACAUAAACAGCUGUUGGACAAGUUUAUGCAAUAUUUUCAUGUCUUUCUAUUAUUUGUAUUUGAUCAGAGCUGUAAGAGUUUUGCUGUUUGAAUUAUGUGUUGGUUAUGAUAGAAAUCGGAUCUAAUUUUCAAUAAAGUUUGGAAUACACAAAGAAAUAUUAAAAGAAUGUAAUUAUUGAUGAAAUUCAGAUAAGAUCUAAUUUUCAUUACAAUUUGGAUUGUACAUAGAUAAAGAUAGGAAGUAUAAGUAUUAAUAAACUGAAUAAUUGUUGAAGUGUCAUCCUGCAUAUCAUGAAAUAUAAAAAUCCUAGCAACACCAGUAAGCAACAUGAAGACGAUAGGCGCUGGAGUAGUAACCUGUAGUGGUUGAUACAUUUUCCAUAGUGAAUGCUGUUUUAUUCUUUAUUCACUUAGAUUGUAUCUUUAUGGAAGUAGUGUCAACUACAACACAAGUCAUCUCAAACAUGGAGAAAAAAGAAUGCUGACAGUGUCUGUAAGUUAAGGUAUUAUAAUGAUGUUUGCAUGAAUGGAAAGUUAUGAUACUGUAACUCUACUAAAUUGUACUUCCAAAGGUGAAAAACAUCAAUCAACUUUUAUCAAUUGGUAUUGAAAAAGUUUACAACAACACUUUUAUCCCUUACCAUUGUUUUUGAUCAGAGUUGGAAAUGUCGCUGAGAAGUGGUUGUGAUUUUUGAAGUAAGUAAUUCGUGUUUAGCAUCGGGGUUAAUUUUCUGUACCAUGUGGAUAAUGCAAAAGAAAAGUGAAGGAAUAUAAUUAUUGGUUGUAUUCAAAUCUGACUUAGAUUCCAAUAUAAUCUGGAAUAUACAUACCUAUAGUGGAGGAAUGCACGUUUCAUUGUGAUUCAGUUUGGAUGGAUUUAAUAUAUUGUACAGUUUGGAAUAUAAAAAGACAUAGUGAAUAAUUAUCAUUAUUUAAUGGAAUUAGUUUAAUAUACAUUUUCGAAUAUACGUAGAUUAGUGUAGGAAUAUUAUUAUUACAGUUCGAUCACUAGGUCAUACGUGUUUACACGUUUUCAAACCAAAUUUUCUCUACUUGCAAAAUUACCUUUCUACUUUUUGAUUAUGUUUUGUUUUAGCUUGAGCUCACGUUUUUCUUAUACCAGA
rnacentral:lncRNA from 1 species